CUGGCUGUGGCCUAAUGGUAAGGCACUUGACUACGGUUGAAAACAAAUUCGGCUUGCCAUCAAGGGAUUGCAGGUUCGAGUCCUGUCAGCCAGG
rfam:Candida albicans SC5314 chromosome R sequence.